ACACACUUUUAUUUAAACCACAAUUUUCAACAGUACAUUCUUUUAUCAAAAUCUAUAAAAAUCUAAUUUCUAUCAAAAUCAAACAAAGGCAUAUUACCAUUUUUCGAAAUUCAGCCAUGUUUGACGUAAAUUUUUUAAAAUAAAUUUUGUGAUUUUUUGUUUUUUUUUGUUUUUGGGUAAUGUAUGGUUCACAAGUAAUAAAAGUGAUAGAUCUAACAUAUGGAAUUAUUUUAUUGAAGUAAUUUUCACGCAGCCCAACGCGUCUCCUGGACGGUGUCUAAGUCAACACUUUUAACACGUCUCCCACGUGCCCACCAACCUCAGCUACCACCAAUGGUUAUCAGCGUCGGUGCGAUACUUACAGUGGUGGAGGCGACAGUGGUUGAAGUAAAAAGUACAUUCAAGAAGUGGAAAAUAUUUUCAAGGUAUUAAUAAAAUCAUCAAAGCUAGUUAAGAAAUUGCUUCUAUUUAACAUAUAUUCCAUAAAGAAAUUCUUUUCCAUUUUCAGAUAUUUAUAGCCCCAAAAUUUGCAGCCUCAAGAUAAUAAAAUAACAAAUAAAUCACAAUAUACUAGUUUUUCUUUUCCUUUUUUUUUAUUUUUUUAUUUUUUUUAAUUUUUUGGAAAAGUACAGAAACCGAUAUUCAUUCAACUAUUUUUACAAUAAGAAAGAUCGACUCGACCAUGAUAGUUGAACGAAAUUUCAAUAAAUUAUGCAAUUUAUUUGUCCCCCUUCCUUUUGCCCCAAAUUCGGAACGAACACUAGCCCCCAAAAUUCCGUUUCCCGGAAAAAAUUAUAUCAAUUUAAGAUACUAAUAAAUUCCAUGAACCCAUCAAAAUUUCAUCAAAUUCAUACAGAAAAAUGCAAUUAACAUGAACAGAUCAAUCCAUACAGCAAAAAGGGGUUCAAAUCCUUACCGAUUUCUUGAUUCUUCUUUUCUGAGCUUGUUUCCCGUCAAGUCAAAGUAAAAGAGCAAAUGAAUUUGCAGUUGACGAUAAGGUUUGUUGGGCUUCGAAUUGCUUAAAAUUCGGAUAUAGAUUGAUUAUCCACUCUCUUCAACGCCGUGUUUAUAUAGGCGGAGAUCAAAAUGGGCUUUGAAUUGAACACAGACGUGCUAACAAAAAGUGGGACCCUGUCUCUCCGAGCCAAAAAGUGGGACCCUCUCUAAAUUGAGAUGGAUAAGAAUUAUUACCGAGUAAAGGCUUCACAUCUAAAUUGUGUUGUUUCAUGAGAGUUUUGAU
rnacentral:lncRNA from 1 species